GAUGAACGCUGGCGGCGUGCCUAAUACAUGCAAGUCGAGCGAACGGACGAGAAGCUUGCUUCUCUGAUGUUAGCGGCGGACGGGUGAGUAACACGUGGAUAACCUACCUAUAAGACUGGGAUAACUUCGGGAAACCGGAGCUAAUACCGGAUAAUAUUUUGAACCGCAUGGUUCAAAAGUUAAAGACGGUCUUGCUGUCACUUAUAGAUGGAUCCGCGCUGCAUUAGCUAGUUGGUAAGGUAACGGCUUACCAAGGCAACGAUGCAUAGCCGACCUGAGAGGGUGAUCGGCCACACUGGAACUGAGACACGGUCCAGACGCCUACGGGAGGCAGCAGUAGGGAAUAUUCCGCAAUGGGCGAAAGCCUGACGGAGCAACGCCGCGUGAGUGAUGAAGGUCUUCGGAUCGUAAAACUCUGUUAUUAGGGAAGAACAUAUGUGUAAGUAACUGUGCACAUCUUGACGGUACCUAAUCAGAAAGCCACGGCUAACUACGUG
rnacentral:rRNA from 1 species